rnacentral:tRNA from 1 species
GGGAGCGUAUGCAAGCGGUCGAAGCAGCGUGGCUGUAAACCACGUCCUGAGAAGGUUAACACGGAGGUUCGAAUCCAUCCCGCUCCCACCA